rnacentral:rRNA from 1 species
CCUACGGGGCGCAGCAGUGAGGAAUAUUGGUCAAUGGGCGGAAGCCUGAACCAGCCAAGUCGCGUGAGGGACUAAGGCCCUGCGGGUCGUAAACCUCUUUUGUCGGGGAGCAAAAGACGCCACGCGUGGCGUUCCGAGAGUACCCGAAGAAAAAGCAUCGGCUAACUCCGUGCCAGCAGCCGCGGUAAUACGGAGGAUGCGAGCGUUAUCCGGAUUUAUUGGGUUUAAAGGGUGCGCAGGCGGAAGAUCAAGUCAGCGGUAAA